CACUGGAUUAAAAUAGCUGCAAAAAAACUACAUUAAGAAAAACGAGUAGGCUAACAAGUAUUUUCUCAACCUGAAGCGGAAAUAUCGCAGACACAACUGUCCAAAGAAGCGCUGUCUACCUCUUCACUCCAGAGUGCCAUUCCCUUGAGGUUUCACGACUACACAACUAUCCUUAUGAUGCCUUAUCAAGCAUUAAGAAAACCAAAGACCAGCUUUGGGAAAUAAGAGAAGAGUUUCGUAUCCGACUCAGUGAGGACUGUUCUGUAACCAAGCCAUGCUAGUCACUUCUGUAAAGGGAGUGUAUUGUUUUAUGAAUGUUAGUGAUCAAGCCAUGGGGACAUUCACUGCAACCAAAGAUGCUGAAAACUCAUCGCUCAAUCAGUUUGAGUUUGCCAGAAUCAUUGUAAAUAGUAAGAACUGAAUGAAAUGUGUUUAUAUGUAAUUUAUGCACUUUAAAUGCUUUAUUAUUAUCUUGAUUAAAUAAAAAGUGUAUUGUCUUUUCAC
ensembl:lncRNA